rnacentral:rRNA from 1 species
UACGAAGGGUGCAAACGUUGCUCGGAAUCAUUGGGCGUAAAGCGCACGUAGGCGGCUUCGCAAGUCGGAUGUGAAAUCCCUCGGCUCAACCGGGGACGUGCAUCCGAAACUGCGGAGCUUGAGUACUGAAGAGGAUCGCGGAAUUCCCGGUGUAGAGGUGAAAUUCGUAGAUAUCGGGAGGAACACCAGUGGCGAAGGCGGCGAUCUGGGCAGUUACUGACGCUGAGGUGCGAAAGCGUGGGGAGCAAACAGG